GUGCACACACCCCCAUGCGUGCAGGAAGCAAGACCUGUAUCCAAGGGGAAGUUCAUUUCCGUUCAGGGGUGCUCAGGCGGGCGUUUCUGCAGCUCAGGCCCCCUCGGCGGGUGCCGCUCUGUUUGACAAGCCAGUGUCUCUCCCCGUCUUUUUCUCCCCCCACCCCAAUCACAGAUUCUGAGGAUGACGGAGAGUCCGAGGCGGCCAAGCAGCUGAUUCAGCCGAUAGCUGAGAAAAUCAUUGCCCAGUACAAAGCUAAAGAGGAAGACGCACCACUUCUGUUCUUCGUAGCCGGGGAGGAUGACAUGACUGACUCCCUGCGAGAUUACACCAACCUGCCCGAGGCUGCCCCUUUGCUCACCAUCCUGGACAUGUCAGCCCGGGCCAAGUACGUGAUGGACGUGGAGGAGAUCACCCCCGCCAUUGUGGAGGCCUUUGUGAAUGACUUCCUAGCAGAGAAGCUUAAACCAGAGCCCAUCUAGCGUGGCUGCAGCCUCCUGAGACGUUAUUUAAAACUCAGCCUUCUCCUCCUCCUCCUCCUCCUUCCUUCCGCCUUUGGACUUACCCAGCGUGCCCCGAAUCACACCACCCAAGUGUCCAGCCUCUCUGUGGUGCCUUGUUUCUGCAUUAAACUCCUCAGCCAGCACCCUGGAGUGCGGAAUCAGCAGCGGCAGAAUCCACCGUGUUUGGAGACUCUGUUUGGGAGCAUGGGAUGGCCGAGGGUCCGGCUAGAGCGGGGCUGCAUCACUCUUGCAAAGUCACUAGCUUUUGGUGAAGGAUCUCCCAGGGUGUCUGGGGCAGAGUGAGCGUGGAGGGCCAGUGGGUCCUGCUCGGGCUCUGACUCUGGCCUCAGCACACGCAGAGCCCCGGACGGCCAGAGGGGAACCGCCGGGUGACACCUGCGUGGAGGCUGAGCUGAGAAAGGGCCUUAAGUGACACGGUCUUUCUCGGUCUGAGAGAAAAGCAGCCCACUCAUGUGUUCUCAGGCAGGGGAUCUCCAAAUGCAAAAGGAAGC
rnacentral:sRNA from 1 species